GUUCCUUUCUUGUGGCAUCAUUUGGCCAUGGCUCCAACAACAGCAGGAACCCCAGAAGCAUAUACUUGAAAUUGGACAAAAGUGGUGGUGUUCUCAACCUUAAUAGCCUCAUCGUGAUCCUCUUCAGAGGACUAAGGAGGAGGGGGUAAGAUGAUGAUGGGAAAAGAGGUUAGAGUUGCUAGUUUAUUCUUACAAUCGGUUAUAUAUUUCCCAGAACAGGAGAAUGGAUGAAACAAUACUCUAUAUUCUAUUUAAAUACAUAAAUGCCAAGGCUCUAUCUAGUUCACCAAUGUCUUGGAUUUAUUCACUAUUUCUUGUACGAAUGUUGACAAAGAAGGAAUAUUCUAUUUCUUAAAAAUAUCUUAUAUGAAUUACAAUGGGAAUCCGGUGUCACUCGAUAAAAUAAAUUAUUAAUACUGAAGAAUAAUAUUGUAGUAGUGUGCAUAGAGCGUUGAAUUGAAUGCAGACAAGUGAACUGAGGGGUUUAUUUAUCUAUAUGGUGGACCUAACCAGCUGUUUUAUCAAUUGCAGGUUGAUGAACAAUCCUAAGCUGAUAUGAAGCUCUAGUUCUGUAUUCUAUGUGAAAAAUGUAAAUAUUUGACUUCACAUUAUUUGAAUGAAGUCUCAUAAGUGGAAGGGUUUCAAUAGUUUAUAAGAAGUUUUCGGUUCAAAUUAUUUAAGAAGAAAAGUUUCAAAAAAUAAGGAAACUCACUUUAUGACAAUCAAAUUUUCAAUCAUAGACUUGAACAACUUGGUAAUUAGUAAUCAGGUUAUCUAAGUCUUAUGGAAGCAUUUGCCAGUUAAUGUAUGUUAUUUAUGUUUAUAAUUUGAGUUGUCACAACAGAAUCGGGACACAUUUCUAUUAAUUGUAAAGUAAAUGAGUAUAAUUAUGCAACCUUGCAUCAAUCUUCGUUGUGGAGUAGGUGGUUUUCUCUUUAAUGAAAAAGUAAAGCUUUAGAUAAAGUAUGAA
rnacentral:lncRNA from 1 species